GCCUGGCUAGCUCAAUCGGUAGAGCGUGAGACUCUUAAUCUCAAGGUUGUGGGUUCGACCCCCACGUCGGGCU
rfam:Saitoella complicata NRRL Y-17804 DNA, contig: contig043, whole genome shotgun sequence.